rnacentral:lncRNA from 1 species
GCUGUCUAAUGCUCGCUCCUUUCUGCAACUGAGCAAUUGUAAGUUUAUUGGGUUCUCUCCGCUAGGAACACACGUGACAAGAUAUACUAACCAGUCAAGUAGAAGAUGGCUUUUUAUGUGCUGACUCUCCAACUGAGUUUGGAAGCACUGCCAAUAUAAACAUGAUGGCCAGAGGCCAGUAGCACAACUUUUCAAGAGGCAGAGCACCUAAGUGCAAACACGGAAGUUGGAGCUGUAGGAUGGAGGUUCAAGGUCCAGUCCCCACACACUGAAGUCAUUGCCCCAGAACCUCACCAGGCUCUGCCAUAUUCUCCAGCAGGACAAAGAGGAAUAGAUUCAGGACUGCACAUCCAUAAAACGAGUAAUAUUCAAAGCAUUCUUGGCAACACUUUGAUGAAAAAGCAUCUUUGGAAAUGUCCAGGUCCUACUCACCUCACCAGUGCUCAUAUAUACUUCUCACAAAGUGACCUGCCUCUCACAAAUGCUCGCUUUGAGGCUGUAUAGAUAGGUGGCAUUUCACCCUUCACUAGCCAUGAAUAACCUGCACUGCUCUGGAAAACCAGAACCUUACGACAUGCUGGAUAGGUAUCACUGGACUGGCCCUGACUUUUAGAGGGCCAUAUCUGCCCGACACAUGAGAGGAGAACAAGGAUUUUAUGCAACUAAGAUGCUAGUACGUAUCUUGCCUCAGGCAUCUAGUCGUCCACAAUUUUUAUUUCGACUAAUAUUAUAAUAUUAGUCUCCACAAAUUUUAUUUGCAAAUUCUUCCAUUCAGCCUUAUGUCAUGAGGAGCUGUAUCCAGGAUUCAAAGCAGCAAAGCAGAAGUGGAAAGUUCUGUCAUCCCCUUUAAGCCACCAAGGACUUCUUAGUAGCCUGAUUCUGAAUUCCAAAUUCCUUUCUGGACUCAUGUAGGC